UUUGUAUCGUUGGAGUUGAUUUGUUAGGAACUCGUGAGAUAUGGAGUCGAAGGCUUUUUCGAAGUCAACGAGCAAGAUAAUGACAUCAUCUCCCUUUUGUUUAAUGGUAUUCAUGACAUCUUGGAUAGAACGAUUAUUAUGGAAUAUAUAUCCUUCAUCUGAGGUAAUACUAAAACCUAAUAAACUCCGAAUUCAACAACAGCCUCUUCUUUAGCCUCUUGAAGAAUCCAUUAAUAUCUGUCAACUGUAGUCAUGGGUCCAUUUACCCUCUUUUCCGUCUAAAAAAACGAGCAUUCCCUUUGCAAACCAGUAUUGAGCUGUCCAAACUUCCUAUUUAACCUCAUCAGUUUCCGUCAAUUUCUCCACCUCCGGAGAUUUCUCAAAAAAUCAUUGCAUGAAGAAUUUAAAGAUGGAACCUUGAAUUUUGAAGCCUUGUUUGAAGAAAACAAAACUCAAUUCAUCUUCCUCAAGAACCUCCUGGUGAAUUUUAGAAUGGAACUACUCCAAAACAUGAAGUCUAAUGUUCUGACAUCCGACAAUGGGCAGCAAAGCCAUAGCUGGCGGGAAAAAAAAGUAAAUUAUGACCAAGACAUUUUUCACUUGUUUAUUGUUUUCGUGCUCGUUUCGCUACUUGGUUUAAAGCUUAAGUUCUAAUUUAUUCGAUUCUUCAAAGAAGUUCGGCCACACCGUUACGAUUUAUAGUGGAACAAACUAAUUUGGUCCUUUAAAGAAGUUGGGUCUGACACCGUUAUCAUUUUUUGUAGAACGAACUAAUUCGGUCCUUUCAAUAAGUUCAGUCAGUGACCAAAUAUUGUUCCAAAUUGAACUAGAAAAAAUCACUGAAGAUCGAACCGGGAAAAAGUUCGGUCUUGGACCGCGUCUCAACACUAAUAUGUACAUAUAUUUAUGAACAAUUAAAACAAAUAUUUACCAAAAUAUGCAUAUUUACUUGUUAAUUUAUAACUUUAAUUAUUCCCAAAAUAAACGGAGAUAUUUCUGAGA
rnacentral:lncRNA from 1 species